rfam:Hordeum vulgare subsp. vulgare, WGS project CAJW01000000 data, contig: morex_contig_5994
GUUGUACUCCCUUCAUCCGAAAAUAUUUGUUCUAAAGAUGAAUGUAUCUAGACUUAUUUUAGUUAUAGAUAUAUCCAUUAUAUCCAUUUCUAGGACAAGUAUUUCCGAACGGAGGAAGUAUAUG